AGAGAUCAUGGCUCAGAAUCAACGCUGGCGGCGUGCCUAACACAUGCAAGUCGAACGCGAAAGGGGAGCAAUCCCUGAGUAGAGUGGCAAACGGGUGAGUAACACGUGGGUGACCUGCCUUCGAGUGGGGGAUAACGUCCCGAAAGGGACGCUAAUACCGCAUGACAUCCUGCUUUUGGAAAAGCGGAGAUCAAAGCUGGGGAUCGCAAGACCUGGCGCUUGAAGAGGGGCCCGCGCCUGAUUAGCUAGUUGGUGAGGUAAUGGCUCACCAAGGCUACGAUCAGUAUCCGGCCUGAGAGGGCGGACGGACACACUGGGACUGAGACACGGCCCAGACUCCUACGGGAGGCAGCAGUGGGGAAUUGUUCGCAAUGGGCGCAAGCCUGACGACGCAACGCCGCGUGGAGGAUGAAGAUCUUCGGGUCGUAAACUCCUGUCGAGCGGGAAGAACAGCUUCGGAGUGAAUAUCUCUGAGGCCUGACGGUACCGCUAAAGGAAGCCCCGGCUAACUCCGUGCCAGCAGCCGCGGUAAUACGGGGGGGGCAAGCGUUGUUCGGAAUUACUGGGCGUAAAGGGCUCGUAGGCGGCCAACUAAGUCAGACGUGAAAUCCCCAGGCUCAACCUGGGAACUGCGUCUGAUACUGGAUGGCUUGAAUUCUGGAGAGGGAUGCAUAAUUCCAGGUGUAGCGGUGAAAUGCGUAGAUAUCUGGAGGAAUACCGGUGGCGAAGGCGGCAUCCUGGACCGACAUUGACGCUGAGGAGCGAAAGCUAGGGAAGCAAACGGGAUUAGAUACCCCGGUAGUCCUAGCCCUAAACGAUGAAUGCUGGGUGUAACGGGUAUCGAUCCCUGUU
rnacentral:rRNA from 1 species